GGUGGGAAACCACAACUCAAAAGUGCCCGAUUUUGGGUUUUUUUCCCCAUUUUUGGCCAACGAGAAGCGGGGAGACCCCAACUUGUGGUGUUCUGGGGAAAAACCGCAUUUUAGGAUGGCCCGAUUUUGGGUUUUUUCACCCCAUUUUGACCAACGAGAAGAUGGGAGACCCAAGUAAUGUUGGGAGAUCCGACGAGUGGGGUUUGGUGGGAAAACAUACCUCAAAAGUGCCCGAUUUGGGGUUUUUUCCCCAUUUUUGGCCAACGAGAAGCGGGGAGACCCCAACUUGUGGUGUUCUGGGGAAAAACCGCAUUUUAGGAUGGCCCGAUUUUGGGUUUUUUCACCCCAUUUUGACCAACGAGAAGAUGGGAGACCCAAGUAAUGUUGGGAGAUCCGACGAGUGGGGUUUGGUGGGAAAACAUACCUCAAAAGUGCCCGAUUUUGGGUUUUUUCACCCCAUUUUGACCAACGAGAAGAUGGGAGACCCAAGUAAUGUUGGGAGAUCCGACGAGUGGGGUUUGGUGGGAAAACAUACCUCAAAAGUGCCCGAUUUGGGGUUUUUUCCCCAUUUUUGGCCAACGAGAAGCGGGGAGACCCCAACUUGUGGUGUUCUGGGGAAAAACCGCAUUUUAGGAUGGCCCGAUUUUGGGUUUUUUCACCCCAUUUUGACCAACGAGAAGAUGGGAGACCCAAGUAAUGUUGGGAGAUCCGAUGAGUGGGGUUUGGUGGGAAAACACACCUCAAAAGUGCCCGAUUUGGGGUUUUUUCCCCAUUUUUGGCCAACGAGAAGCGGGGAGACCCCAACUUGUGGUGUUCUGGGGAAAAACCGCAUUUUAGGAUGGCCCGAUUUUGGGUUUUUUCACCCCAUUUUGGCCACUCGUGAGCCAGCGCCUCCGGUAGAACGUUGACCAACCCAACCUCAACCCGACCAACGUUGGGUUCACCGGCAAACCAAAGCCGGGCCGACGUUGCCCACCCAUCUCCCUCAUCGGCAGCACCGAGGGCCGCGUGUCCGUCCGUCCGUCCGUCCUUCCGUCCCAUUCAGCCAAAAAACGAAAAAAAAAAAAAGAAGGAAAAAGGAAGAGCUGCCGAUUAAAGGCUGAUGCUUCGAUGAUGCCGGAAUCGUCCUUUCCCACCCCGAUUCCUCGCCGUCGUCGUCGUCUCUUCCAUCUCCUCACCUUGGAGGCUGCUGGAAUCCGAAAGGCCGAGCAAAUGUUCGACCGAAUCGAAUUUCUGGAGGUCGGAAGCGAUGGUUUGAAGGCUCAAAACCGAAACCGAAUCGGACGGGGGUCCUUCGGCACCACGGGGAGAGGAUUCGGCGCCGACCGGCGAAGCGCGGCGGAGGACGAGGCGGUGGAGGCGACGGGCGUGGAUCUGUUCGCUGAUUUGUUCCAGGUUCCGGAGGGCGACGGAGUAACG
rnacentral:lncRNA from 1 species